CCGAACAUAGCUCAGAUGGCAGAGCGCCCGACUGUAGAGGAUACGCAGUUAUCGGGCGGUCCCUGGUUCGAUUCCGGGUGUUCGGA
rnacentral:tRNA from 1 species